CUUGCCUCUGUAGCCUUCAUCAGAGGUGUCACGUGAUCACCCCAGGGGACACGGCCAUCCCACCACAUCAGGUGGGAUGGAAAACUCCAUAUAACACAGCUCAGACGACGUCACACCAACAUCACGUGACACCUCUGAUGAAGGCUACAGAGGCAAGGUAGCCGAAACUUGUCAGGUACACAAUUUUACCUUAUUGGCUUGUACAGAGAAACAG